GACGAACGCUGGCGGCGUGCUUAACACAUGCAAGUCGAACGGAAAGGCCCUGCUUUUGUGGGGUGCUCGAGUGGCGAACGGGUGAGUAACACGUGAGUAACCUGCCCUUGACUUUGGGAUAACUUCAGGAAACUGGGGCUAAUACCGGAUAGGAGCUCCUGCUGCAUGGUGGGGGUUGGAAAGUUUCGGCGGUUGGGGAUGGACUCGCGGCUUAUCAGCUUGUUGGUGGGGUAGUGGCUUACCAAGGCUUUGACGGGUAGCCGGCCUGAGAGGUGGACCGGCCACAUUGGUACUGAGAUACGGCCCAGACUCCUACGGGAGGCAGCAGGGGGGAAUAUUGCACAAUGGGCGGAAGCCUGAUGCAGCAACGCCGCGUGCGGGAUGCCGGCCUUCGGGUUGUAAACCGCUUUCGCCUGUGACGAAGCGUGAGUGACGGUAAUGGGUAAAGAAGCACCGGCUAACUACGUG
rnacentral:rRNA from 1 species